rnacentral:lncRNA from 1 species
CUUCCCCACAGCUCUGUCUAGUCGCGCCCACGACGCACACUGGCAUUCUGCCAUUCCCCGUCAUUGCAAAUGCGGAGGGCUGAUUGCUUCGUGUUUCCACAUGGAUACACAUUAAAUCGAGUGGUUGGAAUGAGAAGAUAGAACAGAGGCAGGAAACUUACAGUCUAGUGGCACCCAAAUGGCCCCAGGGGUGUGAAGAAGCUUGGUAAGCUGCAAAACCCUUCAGCGAUCAUCGCAGUGACUCAGACUGAGAGCCGCCCUCACCACAGGCUAGGCCAGUGUUUCUCAGACGUUAGAGUGUAUCAGAAUCACCCGGACCCCUCCUCCAAACAUUUCCGAACUACUGAUUCAGCCCAGGCUGGGCUACAACUCUCAGUAAUCCUCCUGCCUCAGCCUCCAAGUGCUGGGAUCACAAACUCAAGCCCCCACGCCCCAGCUAAGAAUCUGCACUUCUCUCAAGUUCCUGGGAGAUGCUGUUGCCCUAGGUCCAAGGACCACACCUUGAGGACCACUGGUGGCUGGAUAAGCGUGGCCCAUUGUAAC